ACUGCUCAGUAACACGUGGACAACCUACCCAAAGGUCUGGGAUAACUCCGGGAAACUGGGGAUAAUACCGGAUAGGUCAAGAGUACUGGAAGGGUUUUUUGAUUGAAAGCUCUGGCGCCUUUGGAUGGGUCUGCGGCUGAUUAGGUUGACGCCGGUGUAAAGUACCGGCGUGCCGAUUAUCAGUACGGGUUGUGGGAGCAAGAGCCCGGAGAUGGAUUCUGAGACACGAAUCCAGGCCCUACGGGGCGCAGCAGGCGCGAAAACUCUACAAUGCAGGCAACUGCGAUAGGGGAACAUCGAGUGGCAUCUACAUUAGGUGUCUGUCCAGCUGUCUAAAAAACGGCUGUUAGCAAGGGCCGGGCAAGACCGGUGCCAGCCGCCGCGGUAAUACCGGCGGCUCGAGUGGUGGCCGAUAUUAUUGAGUCUAAAGGGUCCGUAGCCGGCUUUGCAAGUCUUGUGGGAAAUCCAGCGGCUUAACCGUUGGGCGUCUGCGGGAUACUACAUUGCUUGGGACUGGGAGAGGUAGGAGGUACUCAGGGGGUAGGAGUGAAAUCCUGUAUCCUCUGGGGACCACCGGUGGCGAAGGCGUCCUACCAGAACAGGUCCGACGGUGAGGGACGAAAGCUAGGGGCACGAACCGGAUUAGAUACCCGGGUAGUCCUAGCCGUAAACGAUGCCCGCUAGGUGUCACGGCAGUCGUGAACUGCCGUGGUGCCGUAGGGAAGCCGUGAAGCGGGCCACUUGGGAAGUACGACCGCAAGGUUGAAACUUAAAGGAAUUGGCGGGGGAGCAC
rnacentral:rRNA from 1 species